rnacentral:misc_RNA from 1 species
AACAAGGCGUACCUGCGGACCUGCGGAGGGAUCAUUACAAGUGACCCCGGUUUACCACCGGGAUGUUCAUAACCCUUUGUUGUCCGACUCUGUUGCCUCCGGGGCGACCCUGCCUUCGGGCGGGGGCUCCGGGUGGACACUUCAAACUCUUGCGUAACUUUGCAGUCUGAGUAAACUUAAUUAAUAAAUUAAAACUUUCAGCAACGGAUCU